rnacentral:snRNA from 1 species
CCGGGCUAGAAGCGACGC